rnacentral:rRNA from 1 species
GACGAACGCUGGCGGCGUGCCUAAUACAUGCAAGUCGAACGCUGAAGAGAGGAGCUUACUCUUCUUGGAUGAGUUGCGAACGGGUGAGUAACGCGUAGGUAACCUGCCUUGUAGCGGGGGAUAACUAUUGGAAACGAUAGCUAAUACCGCAUAACAAUGGAUGACACAUGUCAUUUAUUUGAAAGGGGCAAUUGCUCCACUACAAGAUGGACCUGCGUUGUAUUAGCUAGUAGGUGAGGUAAUGGCUCACCUAGGCGACGAUACAUAGCCGACCUGAGAGGGUGAUCGGCCACACUGGGGCUGAGACACGGCCCAGACUCCUACGGGAGGCAGCAGUAGGGAAUCUUCGGCAAUGGGGGCAACCCUGACCGAGCAACGCCGCGUGAGUGAAGAAGGUUUUCGGAUCGUAAAGCUCUGUUGUAAGUCAAGAACGGGUGUGAGAGUGGAAAGUUCACACUGUGACGGUAGCUUACCAGAAAGGGACGGCUAACUACGUG